rnacentral:other from 1 species
UUACCUGCCUUGUUUGGUGAUAGGAAUUAAAAUUUGUUCCGACCAUUUUGAUUCUGGGAGCUGGCGUUAAGCAGGGGUUGAGUGCCCGUGAGGGAAACCUGAACCUGCUUCCAAGGCACCCACCUAUAAAAAAGGGAUUAAAAUUUAUUUCUACACGGCAAGGUGGGAU